UCACGAGGACCAGGUUUAGUGUGGUCUGGAGAGAAACUGAGAGGUUCUCCCGGCCACUGGCAUGACAUCAGUGCCACAUCCGGUCCUCCGUUUUGUGUGGCCGCCACUGCACUGAGCAAAAGCAAAGUUGUGGACCUGAGCAAUACCUGGAAGUGAGAACAGCUCUCCAAGUUCUUGGAUACUGGACUGUGGCCAUACUUCCUGCGGCUGCAAUAUCCAGCGAAUGAUAUUCGUGGCGCAUACCCGUGGACGAAGCUGUGACGGUAUAUUGGUGGCCGGGCGAUACUUCGGGAGCGCGAAUCAUCGGGCCCGGCAUGUGAAUAUCCUCGGGGU